GAGCUCAGGAAGCAUGUUCCAGGCUGGCUGGGGCUACGUGGGGGCUUUACCGGGCCCAGGCGAGGGAGGGGCAGCACAUGAGGAGGUCAGCGUUCACCCCCCAGCACCACCUUCUCCAGCCAUUGAAAGAGGACCCUGGCCAAAAGAAACCAAGACUUUGGCUAAGAGUUCCACCUUCCAGCCCCACUCUGCUCUCCAGCCCCCGCGGGGCACUGUCCAUCUGUGACAGUCCAUGAGCUCUUCCCGGCUCCGCCAGGAGAUGCAGGUCACCAGGGCUCCAGUGCCCCGGCUCCCUCAACACCACGGAGAUCCGAGGCCUCCAGCCGAGCAAGAGCGGGGCAUCAGGGUGACUGUGGGGAGAAGCUCCCGUCCACCUGCCCGGUACUAGCUGUGGGACCCAGCAGGCUGAGGACCCCCUUGUUCCCCAGCCGUGCCCUGGAAUAAUGAGGACACUGGUUCCAAAGUGCUGCUGUGAGGCGAAGGUGUCAAUGCCUGUAAAGCAUUCCAAGCGGAUGCAGCUAUGCCGUCGGGGACUGGCUUCCUCAGUUGAUGUGUUUGCAUCAUGACCUAAAAAGAAUCUGCUCACUGCUCUGGUUGUUACGUUUAGCUGGAGAGCUGGGGCUCUUCCCGCAGUGCCCCGCAGGAGCCGCCGUGCAGCCCAGGGAGGGGCCUUCAGACAUCCGGGAGCGAAGCCACACAGAGGCUUCUGCAGUCAGUCACCGGGCAAGACUCGACACUCACUGUGUGUUUGUUCUUAGCCCACCUGACCCAGAAAUGACUGGAGGCAGGCAAGGGGGGCUCAAGCCCUGGGCAUUCGCUGUGUUCAGAAGAAUGAACAGUUCCUAGGCCAGUGCUGGAGGAGGGAGAGGAGCUGUUGCCGCAUCACCCGUGACAGUGACGCUGCUGCUGUCACCACACCAGGGGUGUCCUGAGUGCUUCACCUGAGUGGACCCCGCACCCCGCACAGAAACCCUCUGCAGUCAGAACCCCGGCGACCCGGGUGCCGGGGAAGCAGCUGCGGCACCAUCCGGAAAGUUACAGGAAGCUCCUGGAAGCUUCGAGAGGCAGUGCCCGGGCUAAGCCCGCCACGAUGCUGCCCGCUUCGUGUGGUCUGAGCACGUAACAUCUCCCUUAGCUUUUCUGCACAAAACACUGCGCUGCCAGUCCUCAAGAUCCAGUCUGCGGUCCUGGCCUGCCCCGGGCACUUGUUUCCCCUUCAAAGACCUCUCAGCAGACAAUUGUUUUUCACGCCCUCUGGAAGGGAACACUCAGGCCGCAGGUGACGGGCGACGUGGCUGAAGGCGUGGGACACAGUGGGUGCUUAGUCUCUCCUGGAAUCAACCCAGGCUCGCCGAGGAGGCUGGACACAGCUCUGGGCGUGAGGACAAGGCUGGUUUGCCUUUGGUUCCUGAGCAGCACGGCCCACCUUUCCCCACCCAGAGGUUCCGCCCUGCCUCGAGGGGCAAUGACACGGGUCGGCCAGGCCUGCAGUCAGAAGCAGGCGCUCUCAGAGCCAGGAUCUGGAUCCAUGACUCCACGUGCCUGGUCAAGGCGAAGGCGCUAAGGAGCCCCCCAACCCCUGCUGCCUGUGGACACCUGGAGAGCAGUGCUUCCAAGGGAAAGCAGGGAGGUGGGCUGCUGGGGGGGUGUUGGCUCCCCACCUCGGGGGAUGGAGAGGAGAAGGCAGGUGUGGGGCCUUUGGAAGGUGACCUGGGAAGCAGGAGUGAGUGAGGGGGCAGGAGGUGGGGUAAGGAGCAAAGCCACCGAAGGCUCCUCCAUGAGAGGGUUGCUGGUGUAGGCAACUGGUACCAAUCCCACUGAGGAUGUCGACUGUGGCACUCCUAGCUCUCACGCGGGCCGAAUGGACCGAAGCCCCAAGAGCAGAGAGGCGGGGAAUGCGGCCCCUUGGAAACGGCCCCCUUAGCUUCCGUGGGCUCAGAGGCACCUGCAGGCUUCUGGCCAGGGCAGCAACAGGGUGUAGCACCAGCACCAGAGACCAUGACACCCACCAAACCAGGGGCAUCUGUCAGGGUUCCCAGAGGAACAGAACCCACAGAACAGAGCCGAUAGGAUAGGUGGACAGAAGGAUGAAUGGAUGGAUGGAGGGAAAGAGAUUUAUUUGAAGAAAUUGGCUCGGGCAAUUGUGGGGGUUGUCACUUCCAAAAUCUGCAGGGCAGGCGGCAGGCUGGAGACUCAGGCAAGAGCUGACUGAGGUCUCAAGUCCAAGUUCUGCAGGGCGGCAUGCUGGAUACCCAGGCAGGGUUUCUGUAUUGCAGUCUUGAGGGAGGUGCAAUUCCUUCUUCUUCAGGAAAGCUUAGUCUUUGAACUUAAGGCCUCUGGCUGACCGGACAAGACCCACCCACACGACGGAAGGUCACCAGCUUUAAAAGUCUACUGACCUAAAUACGAAUCACAUCUACACAGCUGUCCACGACAACAUCCAGAUGGGCGUUUGACCAAACCGGGCGCCGUGGCCCAGCCAAGUUGAUGCAUGACACAAACCGUUGCACCGGGGUGAACCCAGGAAGGUUAACACCUCACUAAACAAGGAAGGUGAGCCUUCCUGCUGCUCUCAGAGCCUUGAGGAAAGGGAGCGCAUUCGGGUUGAGGAAACAAAACCUCUUCUUAGAUGAUUGCUACUAAAAUUACCAUAACCCCCCAAGAAAUGGCUGCACCAUGGGUGUUAUUUUGUUUUUUUUUUUUAAUCUGUUAUUUUUGUACAGACAGGGUAUCCUUAUGUUGCCCAGGCUGGCCUCGAACUCCUGGCCUCAAGCGAUCUUCCUGCCUUGGCCUCCCAAAGCACUGAGAUUACAGGUGUGAGCCGCCACGCCUUGCCAUGGGAGUUAUUUUUCUCAUGUGCAAAGAUUUCGGUUUUCAGUCAGUGUGGGUCUGCACUAGCCGGGAAAACUGUCCAGAAACUCAUUCGUGUCGAGAAAGAACACAGUACAGCCCUGGCGUCCAGAGCCACCCUGAUGCUCAGGGCCAGGCUUUUGCUUUCCUCCUGGACGUAAACAACCUCCCGGAACGCCAGCUGAGACAGGGGCCACGAGACCAUGGCAGAAGGAGAUGAAGCAAGGCCACCCGUAAUCGUGUCUAAGCACAAAAGCAAGGUCACCGCACAGCCCACGAAACGCUGGACGCCUCUCCUGUUGCUAAAUGAGUGGCUGCUGCCCUGUUAGAGAAUCCUACCGGGCCCCUGCGCCCUCACCACCCCAAUCUAAAACAAACCCCACCUUAGGCCCUUUCCAAGCCACCCAACCCGUGUCCCCUAACACUCUGUUACUGAAACGCCCUCAGUUCCCCCACGGGGCAUGCAGUCCGGCCUGGUCGCCUGCAGGCGUGUGUGUUGCUGCGGCCUCUGGCUGGGGGGUGCCGCCAGUGGUCUGCCCAGGGUAACUGGAUACCGAGUGACAGCCGGCCACACGGGGCCCUGGUCACACACGGUGAACGAUGACUCAGCCCUGGUCCUGGAGUAUGCGGGAGCCAGGGGGCCCAGGCCCAUCUGCAAUUUCCCUUCCUGUUCUCACCAAUCAGGCUGUGGCCCCAUGACUCCACCAAAAUGUCUCUCCACAUUGCCACGCGCGGCCCUCGGCUCCAGGCCUCCCCCGGCCUCCUGGGCGGCUGUCAGCGGGCCACGCCCCUUCCGGGCGCACUGGCUCCACCUGGUCUCCAGGAUGCGCGGUCCCCUGCUUCUCCCGCACCGCGAGCUCCUCCCCGCCAAUGCUGGGGGCCCCGGGGCUCGGUGCUUGCAUCCUCUACUUCCGUCCACACUUGGACCAGCCGGUUGACCUCAUCACGUCCUAUUUCCUGUGCGCUGGCUCCGCCCUACGCACUCGCCUGGCUUCUCCACGGCUCCCAUUGGAUGCCGAGCAGCGCCAGACGCAGCGUCUUAGACCCAGCGUGUCUGAAACCGGCUGUUCCCACGGCCUUUCUUACCCCAGCUAUCAGAACUUCACUCUUGGCCGGGCGCAGUGGCUUACACUUGUAAUCCCAGCACUUUGGAAGGCCGAGGCGGGUGGAUCACAUGAGGUCAGGAGUUUGAGACCAGCCCGGCCAACAUGGCGAAACCCUGUCUCCACUAAAAACACAAAAAUUAGCCGGGUGUGGUGGCCGGCACCUGUAAUCCCAGCUACUCAGGAGGCUGAGGCAAGAGGAUCGCUUGAACCCCAGGAGGCGGAAGUUGCAGUGAGCCGAGAUUGAGAAACUGCACUCCAGCCUGGGCAACAGAGCAAGACUCCUUCUCGAAAAAAAAAAAAAAACAAAAACAAAAACGAAAAAACCCUUUUUUUUUUUUUAGGAAACGGCCUCUCACUAUGUUGCCCAGGCUAGACUUGAACUCCUGGGCUGAAGUGAUCCUCGUGCCUGGGCCUCCCUAGUAGCUGGGAUUACAGGCAAGAGUUACUACAGCCCUAACCCCAGUGUGACUGUAUUUGGAGAUAGGAGGAGGUAAUCAACAUUACAUUAGGUCAUAAGCAGGGGGCUCUAAUCCAAUAGGACUGGCGUCCUUAUAAGAAAAGAGAAAGAGACACCAGGGAUGUGUGUGCCCAGAGGAAAGGCCCUGUGAGGACACAGGGAGAAGGUGGCUGUCCGCAAACCACAGAGAGAGGCCUCAGGAAGAGCCAGCCCUUCUGACACUUUCAUCUCAGACUUCCAGCCUCUAGAACUGAGAUAAUAAAUUUCUGUUAUUUAAAUCAC